CGAGACACAUAUUGAGGAGGGAGGAUCCAGAUAUAGCUCGUGAACCCGACCUCCUACUCGGUACAGUAACUUGUCCAGUUCCAAGGGGGGAGUAGGUAUACCGGGCCUCCUGUGGUAUUUCUCUCUCCAAAACAAUGAUGGGGUCUAAAAACACUGACUAAAUAACCUCAAGGGUGAGGGAAGAAGUAGUCACGAUAACUUGACCGUGAAGGGCUCGAGCGCCAUGUGACAUCCUGGCCAGAAACGUCGGCUCGAUUGAGAUUUCAUCAUCUCCAUUGAGAAAGGGAGCCGGCCUAUCACCCGUGGACCACUAAAAUCACCACCUCUUGGUCCUUCCUCUCUCGUGUUCAGCGCAAGGGCCUUCCUGACUGUGUGACAGAGGGAGUCCUGAGUGACGCCGUGAAUGACUCUACGAUGCCUUACUGCCCCCCCCACCUCUUC